rnacentral:rRNA from 1 species
AGAGUUUGAUCAUGGCUCAGGACGAACGCUGGCGGCGUGCUUAACACAUGCAAGUCGAACGGUGAUGACGAGAGCUUGCUCUUGUUUGAUCAGUGGCGAACGGGUGAGUAACACGUGAGUAACCUGCCCCAGACUCUGGGAUAACCCCGGGAAACCGGAGCUAAUACCGGAUAUGACAUCAACCUGCAUGGGUAUGGUGUGGAAAGUUUUUCGGUCUGGGAUGGACUCGCGGCCUAUCAGCUUGUUGGUGAGGUAGUGGCUCACCAAGGCGACGACGGGUAGCCGGCCUGAGAGGGUGUCCGGCCACACUGGGACUGAGAUACGGCCCAGACUCCUACGGGAGGCAGCAGUGGGGAAUAUUGCACAAUGGGCGCAAGCCUGAUGCAGCGACGCCGCGUGAGGGAUGACGGCCUUCGGGUUGUAAACCUCUUUCAGCAGGGACGAAGCGCAAGUGACGGUACCUGUAGAAGAAGCACCGGCCAACUACGUGCCAGCAGCCGCGGUAAUACGUAGGGUGCGAGCGUUGUCCGGAAUUAUUGGGCGUAAAGAGCUCGUAGGCGGUCUGUCGCGCCGAUCGUGAAAACUUGGGGCUUAACCCUGAGCUUGCGGUCGAUACGGGCAUGACUGGAGUUCGGCAGGGGAGACUGGAAUUCCUGGUGUAGCGGUGAAAUGCGCAGAUAUCAGGAGGAACACCGGUGGCGAAGGCGGGUCUCUGGGCCGAUACUGACGCUGAGGAGCGAAAGCGUGGGGAGCGAACAGGAUUAGAUACCCUAGUAGUCC